UUAAUUUUUCCACCAUAUAAAACCUUAACAUUUGCUAACCCUAACCCUAAAGACAUCACACCAAAUGGCGCUCUUCUCCUCUCAAAUCUGCUGCUUCCAACUCGAUCCAUACUCGCCGGAAAACUCAGAAAAAAUCGACGAGUUCGCUCAGCCGAGUUUCGUGGUCCCCCCUUCAUCUUCUCCUUCUUCCACGUCAUGCCUUCUGUACUAAAUCUCAUGAUUCCUUAAAUCGACCCAUAUGUUCUUUUCAUCCUUUCAUUUUUGUUGGGGCAAUUUUAGACCCUUGAAUAGAUCUUGCAAGAUUGAGAACCGUUGGAUGAAUAUUUUGUCAAGUUUUUAUUUUUUUGAUUUUUUUUUUGUGAAAGGGAAUUUUCGGAAUUUAUUUGGUGGUCCCAUGCAUUUUUUUGGUGAAGAAGAAGAAGAUUCAAGAGUGGGCUAUAUAUUUGAGGAUUUUCGGACAGAAGAGGGGGAUUAGAGAAAGAAAAAAAGGGUUAUAGGGUUCUUCAGGCGAUUCUUCUCAUUUUUCUAUUUUUCUUUUAAAAAGAGUAAUACAAUAAAAAAAUAGUGGAAAUUUUUUGGUUAGAAUUAUGUUUUUCCAUUUCAAAAAUCAAAAAACAAAAAAAGAAUAUUUAGUCCAGUUACUCUUUUAUUUUCGCCUUUCUUCCUUCAAUUUUGGAUUCCAGACUUUUCGAUUUUGCUAUUUCAAUAUAGAGAUUGAUUGAGCCGAAAUCGAGUUUGCCGUUUGAGUUUUGGUUGUUGGUUUGAUUCCUGUUUACCUUCUUCUAUGUCGCUUAUUCAUUUCAAAACUUUAUCAGAAAGUUAACUUGCAAUCGCUUUCAAACUGGUUCAAUCGAAAGCUUUUGGCAUUCAGGUUCAUUUCCUUACCCUCUUUUAUUUAUGGUAUGAUCAGCAGUAUGAUAGGAGCCUGGUAUUGGAGAAUUUUACUUUCAAUCGAAUGUUGAUAGAAGCAGGUUCGAGGUAGUCUGAUAGUAUAGCGUCGGAUUGUAUAUUGGUUGUUCAUGAUCUUGUAGUUAUUUGCUUGCCGUAUGACAUUGUGAUUGGUUCAGAGUAUACUGUUCGUUAGAGUUAUAGCUUUCCUUGAAUAUGUUUAGUUUAAAUGAGAUAUACUUGGUUAAUAUGCAACUAGUUCCUCCAUAAAAUUAAACCAUAAGAUUAACAUCCUAUGCUUGUUAAAUAAACUGCUUAGUUGAAUAAUUGUUGAUGCAUUUUCUCAUAGCUCUUUAUCUGACUCUCUUCGAUUUUUUGAGUAUAAACAACACGGGUCAUUGAAAGAGGUAGAAAUUUGUGUGCUUGUUCAUGAUUCAAUUCUGUUCACUGUCCCUUGCGCUUGAAUAAUGAAUUUUUUUUAAAAAAAAAUUGAAAAUCCAAAGUUUCAAUUUGUGUUUUAAAGACAAAUGGAAUGGUUGAUAAAAAUAUGCAUCUGUUGAGGUUUAUUCUUGCUUUUCUUCUCAUCAGUAUUUGGUGAGAUUUGUAUUACCCUAAGUCUUAGAGGAGUCUGUUAAAAUUUUCACAAAUUGAUUAGAGAGGUCAUGUUUAAUGGAAUUUCUUUUUUAAGAAAAGAAAAAAUAUGCUUGUAACAAUGUUUGAUUGGUGAUCUCACAUGUGGGCAAUAUGAUUUUGUUAGAUAUUUCUUUGUUUCCUAUUUUAAAUGUUAGCAUUCCAUGAGAGAGUUAUUAUUUUGUGGAUGAAACAUAACAAGGGAAGAGGAGAAUCUGUGUUAGUGAUUCUUGCGUAAAGUCUAUGUGAGUGAGAUUAACAGUAAAGUAAAAUUAGGAAUGUGAAUUUAAUUAGCAAAUUAUGAGUUAAGUUCUUCACGCUAAGGAGUAGGGAUAAUUUGUGGAGAUUAUGGCUCAUAUGAGCCAUGAUAAUUCCUACUCCUUAGCAUAAAGAACCUAACUCAUAAUUUUUAAAUUCACAUUCCUAAUUCCACUUUACUGUUAAUGUCACAAAUUUCUACCUCUUUCGAUGACCCAUGUUGUUUAUACUCAAAAAUCAAAGAGAGUCAGAUAAAAAGUCAUAAGAAAAUGCAUCAAAAAUUAUUUAACUAAGCAGUUUAUUUAACAAGCAUAGGAUGUUAAUCUUAUGGUUUGACUUUAUGGAGGAACUAGCUGCAUAUUAAACAAGUAUAUCUUAUUUUAAACUAAACAUAUUCAAGUAAAGCUAAAACUCUAACGAACAUAAUAGUCUGAACCAAUCACAGCGCUAUACGACAAGCAAAUAACUACAAGAUUGCGCUCAACAAAUACACAAUUCAACACAAUACUAUCAGACUACCGAGAAUCUACUUCUAUCAACACUCGAUUGAAACUAAAAUUCUCCAAUCCUAGACUCCUGCCAUACUGUUGAUAACACCAUAAAUAAAAUAGAGUAUGGAAAUGAACCUGAAUGCAAAAAGCUUUCAAUUGAACCCGUUUGAAAGCAAUUACAUGUUAACUUUUCGAUGAAGUUUGAAAUGAAGAAGCGACACAACAGCAGAACCAGCAACCAAAACUCGAACGGCAAACUCGAUUUCGUCUCAAUCAAUCUCCAUGUUGAGACAACAAAAUCGAAAAGUGUGGAAUCCAACAUUGGAGGAAGAAAACUGAAAAUAAAAGAACAACUGAAGUGAUUUUUUUUUUGUUUUCUAAUUUUUGAAAUGGAAAAAUAGGACUCUAACAAAAAUAUUGCACUAUUUUUUAUUGUAUUACUCUUUUUAACGAAAAAUAGAAAAAUAAGAAGAAUCACCUCAAGAACCCUAGAAACCUUUUUUUUCUAUCUUUAAUCCCCCUCUUACGUCCGAAAAUUCCCAAAUAUGUAGCCCACUCUCGAAUCUUCUUCUUCUUCACCAAGAAAAUUCGUGGGACCACCAAAUAAAUUUCAAAAAUCCUUUAUUCACAAACAAAAAUUUUAAUAAUGAAAACUUUGGAUAAAAUCUUCAUCCAAUGAUUCCCAUUCUUUAAAGAUUUAUUCAAGGGUCCGAAAUUGCUCCAACAAAAAUGAAAGAAAUGAAGAGAACACGUGAAUCGGUUUAAGAAAUCAUGAGAUUUAGUAAGUAAGGGAUGACGUAUAAGAAGGAGAAGAUGAGAGGGGGGACCAUGAAACUCGGAUGAGAAAACUCGUCGAUUUUUUCUGAGUUUCCGGCGAGUUUGGCUCGAGUUGAAAGCAACAUAUUUUAGAGGAGAAGAGCACCAUUUGGUGUUAAGACUUUAGGGUUAGGGUUAGCAAACGUUAACGUCUUAUGUGGUAGGAGAAUUAAUUGUGGGCUCUUGGAUUAAAGUGAAUGGAUGGCCAAGAUUAAAGGGGAAAAACAGGGUGGUUCCGUCUGGUUAUUGGGUUUGGGCUUGGGCGCAUGGUCAGGGUUGAUUUAAAGGAGUGGGUUGUUGAAUUUUUGGCUCAUGUUUGGAUUGGGCUCCGAAAUUAUACAAAAUUAGGCCAAAACAAAGAUUAAAUUCAAUUUAAAUAACUAUAAAAAAUGUAAAAACUCUUAAUUGAUUUUGAUAAACUAUUAAUAUUAAAAUAAAAGCUAAAAAGGAAAGCUGAAACUAUUUAUUUGAUAUUUUUAAGGAUUAUAUUAGAAUAAAAAUAUGUUGAAAGUAAUUUAUCUUUCUAAAAAUACCUAAUACUAAAUUAAAUAGAAAAAUGAAACUAUUUUUUUGUUGUAUUUUUCAAUUUUUGUGCCUAAAAAUGGAAUUAAGUUUAAUAAUAAAGUGAAAUUCUAUAGGAAUAAACUCAAAUAAAUAUUUCAAAAAUACUGAGACUAUUAAAGGUAAUUCUAAUGUAUGGAUCAAAAAUUACAUAUCUAGAUCUGCCCCUCUUUGAAGGAAAAUACGAAGUGUUUUCAGACAAAGAACAACAAGACAUUUUUUUUACCCGACCCUUAUUUAGAAAGACAAAAACUAAAAGAAAAGAGAAUUUGACCAAGCCAUAGAAUUUGAGCUACCUACAUACUCUUGGGUAUAAAGGAAUCAGGUCAUGUGUAGUUCAGAGUGAGAAGUGCGAUGGAGUAUACCGAGGUGUAGAGUUGAGUGAAGUACCGUCGAGGUACCUCUCCGAGGUUCUUGCCAUUACAUCAAACAUAAAAAGAAAAACUACAGAAAAAGUAAAAGAAAAAUACAAGAUCUUAUCAAUUUCUUGUCUUGAAUCUUCCUUGAAUCUCUACUUGAUCUUCAACAUGAAACUGAAAAAUGGACCAUAUUCUUCAAACGGGCUCCUAAUGCUUCUUGAAUUUGCGAAUUGAAAGUAACUCUGAAAUGAAUUCCCUUGUUCUCCAAGUAGGCGCCUGAUUGCCAUAACAUGAACUGUAUUUCCCCUGUUCUCCAGGUGGGCGCUUGAUUGCCAAAACUUAAAUUGUAUUCCCUUCUUCUCCAGAUGGGCGCCUGAUUGCCAACACUAGAACUGUAUUCCCUUUCUCCAGGUGGGCGCCUGAUUCCAAAACUUGAAUUGUGUUCCCUUGCUCUCCAGGUAGGCGCCUGAUUAUCAAAACUUGAACUGUAUUCCCUUGUUCUCCAGGUGGGCGCCUGAUUAUCAAAACUUGAAUUGUAUUCCCUUGUUCUCCAGGUGGGCGCCUGAUUGCCAAAACUUGAACUGUAUUUCCCUUGUUCUCAAGGUGGGCAUCUGAUUUCCAAAACUUGAACUAUAUUCCCCUAUUUUCCAGGUGGGCGCCUAAUUGCUAAAACUUGAACUGUAUUUCCAUCGUUCUCCAUGAGGGCGCCUGAUUGUCAAAACCUAAACUGUAUUCCCUUGUUCUCCUAUUUGAGUGAAAUUAUCUUUCUGACUUUUUUUCCCUCCAUGCCUAUGUUUUUAGGGUUAUAGGGUGAAAAUACUGUGAAGGCACACGAGAAUUCUG
rnacentral:lncRNA from 1 species